ensembl:lncRNA
GUCCUCCAGCCCCCCAACUCAGUCCUCCAGGGGGUGAAAGAACCAAUCAGGGCAGCUGCCCUUAUUUGGGCCGCGGCCCCUUUAAGAAGCGCCGAUCGCACCCAAAGGGGCAAAGAGCGCCGGGCAAAGGGCGCCCCGCCCCAUAGCGACUCGGUCCUCCUGCCCCACAACUAGGUCCUCCAGCCCCACAAGUAGGUCCUCCAGCCCCACAAGUAGGUCCUCCAGCCCCACAGCGAGGUCCUCCUGCCCCACAACUCGGUCCUCCAGUGAACAGUGAGGUCCUCCAGCCCCACAACUUGGUCCUCCAGCCCUAUAGCGAGGUGCUCCUGCCCCACAACUCGGUCCUCCUGCCCCAUAGCGAGGUCCUCCAGCCCCACAAGUCGGUCCUCCAGCACCACAAGUCGGUCCUCCAGCCACUCAUUCAAGUCCUCCAGCCCCCCAACUCGGUCCUCCAGCCCCACAC